GUGCAGCCUCAAUCCAGCCUAAAUUGUCCUCCAAGACCUGUCUGGGCCCCAGCAUGGUUUCUUGGCCCCCACCAGUGGCAGACAGAGGAUGGGAAUGCAAGCAUCUGGGGCCCUUUCUGAAAGCUUCCACCCUCAUCUGACAUGGUGCACAGGCAGAACGGCGCAGGAGAGGGUGUCCAAUCCAUCGUCCUCAAUGAAGGCAUCAGAGAUCUUCAUUCCCACCUCUAUUAAAACUGACGGAGAUCGGUUACAGCCACCGAGCAUGCGCGCAAGCACGCCGCAGUCCUCGUUUCACUUGCUUUUCAUGACCCUGCCAGACAGGUGGCGAGCCUUUCUCAUGCCCACAGCGCAGAUGAAGCACGGCCUGGAAACAAGAAGGAACUUAGUCCAGACCCCAUCAAGGACUCCUGACAUCUGGAGAGCACGGAGAGCACCUGAACCCAGGCGGGAUGAUGCACCCAGGUCUGCCAGGGAUCCGGGGAAACCACGAUUCUGUUUAUCACCUUGA
rnacentral:lncRNA from 1 species